CAGGCUCCAUGCUCGCGCAUCGAACUGUCGCUUAGUGUUCCUUUCAUUUCGUCGACCAUCAGGCUAAGUCCUGGUGCGGUGAUUCCUUGUUCCUGUGCUGCUUACCGUCUAUCGCGGAAUCCAAACGUUGUUGCUGCCCCUUCUUAGCCCUUGCCUUUACCUAGGCUCGGGCUGGACCCUGAUGCGGUUCGAGUGCCCCAAGCACGCCCACUCGGCUGCUAUGGAUCACUCGUUGCCGCUCGUGCAUUCGGAUGCGGAACGCUAAGCGAUGCCGGGGCGCGCCCAGCAGCCCCCGCAUGACCCUAAACAACGAGCGAAACUUCGCUCCCCGAGAAUGACCACCGCGCGCGCUCGCUCUUCCAUCCAACCGUUCGCUCGGCGAUGGGAGCUAGCGCGCCGCGGUGCCUUCAAGGGCCGCUACCUGGUUGAUCCUGCCAGUAGUCAUAUGCUUGUCUCAAA
rnacentral:misc_RNA from 1 species